UUUCAACCCAAGCCAGUGGGACAAGGUGCAAAACAUUUUCUUCAUUAAAUAUCCCUUUUACAAAUACAGCCUCAAGUUUUAAAGGAAUAAGCUGUUUGAGGAAGAGUGAAGUUUGAAAUACACUAAAUGCUUUACAUCUUUCCAUCCUCGCUUAGUGGUCAUCAGAGUUUCUAGUGUCUCUUAAGGAUUAACAGAAAUCUCUCUAGUAGCAGUCCUUGUCACCUGGAAGCCCCUGUUGCCUGCCUGGGCAGCUAGUAAUAGGAGUAGAGAUAUUUGUAUGCACUUGAGACCACAUGGGUUUUGUCUUUCCAAUACAGCAUCCAGAAGAUUUCAUCCACCUCACCUAUUUAUCCUUUUUUAUGCUUUUAGGGAGAAAUAAGGUUUGAAAAGAAAGGGGACUUCUGUUAACAUUCUAUAUAAGAUUUGAAGCUAUAUAUCUUCCAAGCCCCAAACUGUACAAUAAAAGUUUUCUUGGAUACUACUUUUCUCCCAUAAUUCCUAGCACAUAGCUUAUUAAGUUAUUAACCAGCAAUUACUCUGGCAGCAUAUUAAACUUUACUUUUAAACAAGUCACAGAGGGAGGGAAAC
rnacentral:lncRNA from 1 species